UGUGUCUAACUCCCUCAUCUCCUCCCCAGUAUCAGUACAGGUGUGUCUAACUCCCUCAUCUCCUCCCCAGUAUCAGUACAGGUGUGUCUAACUCCCUCAUCUCCUCCCCAGUAUCAGUACAGGUGUGUCUAACUCCCUCAUCUCCUCCCCAGUAUCAGUACAGGUGUGUCUAACUCCCUCAUCUCCUCCCCAGUAUCAGUACAGGUGUGUCUAACUCCCUCAUCUCCUCCCCAGUAUCAGUACAGGUGUGUCUAACUCCCUCAUCUCCUCCCCAGUAUCAGUACAGGUGUGUCUAACUCCCUCAUCUCCUCCCCAGUAUCAGUACAGGUGUGUCUAACUCCCUCAUCUCCUCCCCAGUAUCAGUACAGGUGUGUCUAACUCCCUCAUCUCCUCCCCAGUAUCAGUACAGGUGUGUCUAACUCCCUCAUCUCCUCCCCAGUAUCAGUACAGGUGUGUCUAACUCCCUCAUCUCCUCCCCAGUAUCAGUACAGGUGUGUCUAACUCCCUCAUCUCCUCCCCAGUAUCAGUACAGGUGUGUCUAACUCCCUCAUCUCCUCCCCAGUAUCAGUACAGGUGUGUCUAACUCCCUCAUCUCCUCCCCAGUAUCAGUACAGGUGUGUCUAACUCCCUCAUCUCCUCCCCAGUAUCAGUACAGGUGUGUCUA